rnacentral:lncRNA from 1 species
GAGGCCUCCCCGUUCACCUCCCAGAGGCUGCCACUUUCUUCAGGGCUAGCAGAUGAAGGCAGCAAGGAAAACACCACCACAAGACCGACUUUAGGCUGGAGCUGAUGAUGCCACACGGGUAUAAUAUUAGGCAGAAACCCAAUUUAAAAAGAAAAGCAGAGCUGUUGUAGAUUCAGCGAGGGUUGGCGACCUGGUUCCAAUGAGCCAUCUCCCUGUUCCGACAGGGGCUUCCUGGAGCUCCUGCAACCCCAGGCAUUAGUUCCAGUGCAGUUCUAGGAUCAGAUCAAUUCACUCGACAACAAGAGAAACAAAUGGAGAUUCCUACACAAAGACUUUCAAGCACAAAGAAAUCCUGCUGCCUAUAAAGCAGAGCUGCCUCAGCUCUUGAUGAACGACAGAAAAUACCACCUACUGCCAGACCUCUUCGCCUCACAAAACUCUCACCCACCUACUGCUUUUAGCUCAAAUUCCAGGAAUUCAGAUGAAGUGAAGUGCUCUCAUGGGGACCAGGCGUGGGUAUGCCAGUCCACUGCCCUGCAAGUCUCAAGGGAAACCAACUGCCCAUCAGCAAGUCACACCUGCCUUGGUGGAGGCAUUGAUUGGAAGGGCCACAGGCUACAUGUCCAGUCCUGAGUGGGAGAAUCGGUGUAGGGAUGUUCUGGGGAUGCUGGCUGUGGCUAGAUCAGGUCCAGCUACAGAAGAAUAAUGAAGACUUCACCUGAGGGCUGGAAAAACAAAACCUCAAGUGUGAGGCAGCCAACCUAUUACCUCGAGGGACUGUCCCGCAGCACAGCAGGGCCAUGGGAACAGCAGCAGACACCCCG